AGUUUGUGUGUUUUUUUCUGCCAAGGUGCUGAUUGUUUAGCUGUUUCAUUUAAGGGCAGUGUAAAUAAUAGUUACUUCUAUUAUAAUGUUUAUGCAUACAAGGUAUUACUUGGGGGUAAAACUAAAACUUAGAAUAUAUGAGCUAUUUUAAUCAGAUGUGUAUGGAGAAUGAUUCAUCAGCCAAAAGUGUGUUCACAAGUAGGAAUGAAUCAGAGGGAUCAUUCCUAUUAUCACAAAACAAGGAAACCACUUGAAUAUGUGAGAAACAUAGAGAAUCACACCAUUAACAGUUUGCAACAUUGUAAAUAUUUCCACAGCAAUUUUUCAGAACUUGUAACAAAAUUUAAUAUUUGCUUAUUAUUCCCUUUUCAAAUCCAUGAUCAGUUGUAACACAUUCUUCUACAAAGCAGAAAAAUUUUUGAAACAAAGUAGCACAGUAUUAAUUUGAACAAACAUUUACUUACAAUUAAAUAAAUGUCUUAAUAGUAUAAUAAAUUCAAUUUAAACACUGCAACUUCUAGAGUCUACAGCAGUGGUAGCCAACCUUUUUAGGUUUGAGUACAUACAUUUCAUUUCAGAAAUCACUGGCAGUCUACUUUAUAGUUUAUAGCAGGGGUG
rnacentral:lncRNA from 1 species